rnacentral:tRNA from 1 species
GCCGGUCUAGUUCAGUGGCAGAACGGCAGCUUUGUAAGCUGGGCGUCAUAGGGGCAAUUCCUUUGCCCGGUACCA